CUUCUUCCUCUCCUUCAGCCCGAGCACACACACACGCACGCAUGGUGCUAGUGAGAGAAACCUUCAUUCCUCUCUCUAGAUUUCUCUCUCAUCUCUCCAUAUCUCUCGCUCAAAUUCGCGGCGUUGGUGGAGAAGAUGCUCGCGAACGCGUUGGGAGUGACGGAUCGAGCUUUCGUGCGCCCGUUACAGCGGCGUGUUUUCGUUGCGGCGUUCACGUUGUGGUAAGCUUUUGGGAUUUGGCUUAAUCCUUAGCUUUAAGUGUUCUAAUAGUCUCUAAUGAGCAUUAUUAGCAUGUUGCUCCAUUUAAUUUGGAUUAUUUGGAGGUUCAAUGCAUCUAGGGCUCAAAAAUGGGGUUUUGUAAAUAUGAGGGUUUGAUCUCAUUUGACCCUCUAUAAACCUAAUUGCUAGGUAAACGAACGCGUUGGCGAAGUCGGUUCGCUGAUUCGUCGAGCCGUUGCGAAGUUAUUAAAGAAACGGACGUUUAGGCUUCGUUUUCGCCUGGAGGGCCGAGGCGACAUCGUAAACCCAUGAAAACGGAUUUGAAGCAUCGUGGCACAUAACCGAAGAACUUUAAUUUCCGGAUCGUGAAUUGGAGGCCGUUCGGGUGGUUGCGCGAGAGAUCGGGCCAAACCGGGUGCCGGAUGCCGCGGGAGGCCGAUUGCAAGUGUCGACAAGCAAUCGGAAUGCGAAAUGAGGUGGGUUGUGCUUACCGAAGCGACUAGGUCGCCUUUAUGUCUAAGAGAAAUGAGAUUUCAUAUUGAUGCAUGUUGACAUAUAAUGUGAAAUGCUAGAGGAAUGCAUUUGACAUAAUGUAAGAAUGUGAAAAGAAUGCAUGUUAACAUAUUAUAGAAAUGCUAGAUAAAUGCAUGUGAUUAAUGCUUUGAAUGCAUAAGAUAAAGGGCAUAUGAAUGUUAACAUUAUAAGAACAUGAUAAGAGGAAUGCAUGAUGACUUAGUGUAAAUAGUGCUAGAUGAAUGCAUUGAGUAAUGCUAAAGUUUACAUGAUAAGCAUGCAUGUGGAUAAUGCUAAGUAAUGGUAUGAUAAGCAUGAUGUAGAAAUAAUAAAUGCAAGCAUGUGGCUAAUACUAAGAUAUACUUGAUGAUCAUGUUGUAGAGAUACUAAUGUUAAGAAAUGAAAAUGUGCAUAUGGACAAUCUAUAUACAUUAGAUCGAGUGGCAUUAAACCUAGAGUCAUGGACAUAGGUUGAACAUGGAGGAUAUGAACCUAGUGUCAAAGAACAUAGGUUGAACAAGUAUAGUGUGAACCUAGUGUCAUGAACCUAGCAAACACUUGUGGCAUUUGAGCAUAUAUAUUUGUAUCAUUCAUACAUAAUAGGACUAAGUACAUGUGAAUCUUGGUUGCUUUCAAUGACAUGUUUCUAACGUAGUUGAACAUAGAGAAAGGUAGAACCAUAAUGGACAUGUAUGUUAGGACCCUAUUAUUGUGUGAAUGUGAGAGUUGGACUUGGACAUAGUAAACAAAGGUGACAUUGACAAUAGAGACAUUGAUUGGCAUAGAGAACAUAGUUGUUAAACAUAGUUUAACCAAGAGUGGCAUUGGACCAAGAUGACAUAGGGAGUGGCAUGAUUAAAUAGGUAGAAAACCUAUUAUGACAAUGGCAUUGUGACAAGUGGCUAUGAAUCCUCAAGUUGAGGAUUGGAUCGAUACUCACGAUAAGUCUUGGCUUGAGGGAGGUAGCUCCCCCUCGGGCGGUGCGCUCCGGAGUUGGUCACCACUGGGCGUGGUAAAGUCCCCCCAGAAGACGGUCCCUAGGGAGGUUCGAGUCCCCCGCUAUUAAGGGAUUUUGGGUUGUGAGUUAUUGGGGUUAACAUGGUUAACCGGUAAGAUUGGGUCAAAGCCAAGUGAAUGUACAGCAUUAUGUGUUACGGGUUUGGUAUCCCAGUUGAGAGGAUUUAGGGCUGAGGUGUAUGUGAGACGUCCAUCACCUCGAGCCUAGUUUUGGUGCGGUAUUCCGCAGUUGAUUGACUCGAGACCGAGUCGGGUGGUUAGCUUGGCUAGGGUAGAGGAAAACCUUAGGAGCAAAUAACCAAUGAUGUAAAGUGAUAAGAUGUAUAAAUUAUGAAAAAGCUAUGGAUAGCAUGAUACAAAGUAAAAUCAUUUAUUCUACUUGUAUAGUUGCAUGAUUCGCAUAUAGCAUGGCAUUAUUGUAUUCGUGAGGCAAAGCAUGGUUUUAUUAGUUGCAUAAUAAAGAUAUAUAUCUAUCUGUUUAUUGAAUUAACUUGCAGUUGCCUACCUUGGACCUAUUGGUCGAGCUUUUCUCUUGGGUGGCCGUACCCACUGGGAACCAUGGAGUUGGUUCUCACCCC
rnacentral:lncRNA from 1 species